rnacentral:misc_RNA from 2 species
CUGCCCUCAAGCGCGGCUUGUGUGUUGGGCGUGGUCCCCCUGGCUUUGGCGGGGACCUGCCCGAAAGGCAGCGGCGACGUCCCGCCUAGUCCUCGAGCGUAUGGGGCUCUGUCACGCGCUCGGGAGGGACUGGUGGGCGUUGGUCACCCCUUAUUCUUUCUAC